CCUACGGGGGGCAGCAGUGGGGAAUAUUGCGCAAUGGGGGAAACCCUGACGCAGCCAUGCCGCGUGGGUGAAGAAGGCCUUCGGGUUGUAAAGCCCUUUCAACGGUGAAGAUGAUGACUGUAGCCGUAGAAGAAGCCCCGGCUAACUUCGUGCCAGCAGCCGCGGUAAUACGAAGGGGGCUAGCGUUGUUCGGAAUUACUGGGCGUAAAGGGCGCGUAGGCGGACUGACCAGUCAGGGGUGAAAUCCCGAGGCUCAACCUCGGAACUGCCUUUGAUACUGUCAGUCUAGAGUCUGUGAGAGGAUGACGGAAUACCCAGUGUAGAGGUGAAAUUCGUAGAUAUUGGGUAGAACACCGGUGGCGAAGGCGGUCAUCUGGCGCAGCACUGACGCUGAGGCGCGAAAGCGUGGGGAGCAAACAGGAUUAGAUACCCCAGUAGUC
rnacentral:rRNA from 1 species